GGCCUAUCAGUCCGCUGUGACAGAUUUUUCUGAAAAAUCCAUUUCUCCGAAAGCGGUUUCUGUCAUCUUAUUCGCUUUUGCUGCUGCUUGUUGCUUCCAUUGCUCUCACCUUUUUUCUUCUUUAAAUCUUCAUUUUAUUAUCUCAUGACCUUAUUAUUCUUUCUGUUUGGAUUUACAUUGUUCUUGACUUCAAAAGUUUCGUGGACUUUUGCACCAACUUUUACUUAUUAGGUCAUUAUUCUUCCAAAAUUUCGCGCUUCGCCUUCACAUCGAUUCCGCUGCACUUCCAAAGGAGUUGGUUGUGCAGUUCUUGUUUUCAGAAACCAUCUUUAAGGUUCUGUCGGCGUUUGAGUUCUGUAAUGGCCAGUGAUUUUUCUGUCAUCUCCAAUGGAGACAGCAAUGGCAAUGUCAAUCCUCAACCUAAUCAGCAAAGGACAUACCAAGUGGUAGUGGCUGCCACCCAAGAUUGGGGCAUUGGCAAGGAUGGGAAGUUACCCUGGAGGUUGCCUACUGAUCUCAAAUUUUUUAAGGAGAUCACUGAGAAAACAUCUGAUCCUGGAAAGAAGAAUGCCAUUGUAAUGGGAAGGAAAACAUGGGAGAGUAUCCCUCUUCAGUACAGGCCUCUUUCUGGUCGCCUUAACGUUGUUCUUACUCGCUCAGGCAGCUUUGAUAUUGCAACGGCAGAGAAUGUUGUUAUAUGUGGAAGUAUUAAUUCUGCACUGGAACUAUUAGCUUCUUCUCCUUACUCUCUGUCAAUUGAAAAAGUAUUUGUUAUUGGAGGUGGUCAAAUAUUUAGAGAGGCUCUCAAUGCACCUGGAUGUGAAGCUAUCCACUUAACAGAAAUUCAGUCAAACAUUGAGUGCGACACUUUUAUGCCUUCAGUUGAUUUCACUAUAUUUCGGCCAUGGUACUCAUCCUUUCCUAAGAUGGAAAACAACAUACGCCAUUCUUUCAUCAGUUACGUGCGUGUAAGGAGUUCUCCUGUUGUGUCCCUGAAUCAGAAUAUUGAUCCAUUUAUUGAUAAGAAUUCUGAUUCCAUAAAAUUUGAGGUCAAGGAUUUUUCUUUUCUUCCUAAAAUGAUUUUUGAGAGACAUGAGGAGAAUAUGUAUCUUAAGCUGGUUCAAGACAUAAUUUCUGAAGGUACAAUAAAGGGUGAUAGGACAGGGACUGGUACCUUGUCAAAAUUUGGUAGCCAGAUGAGAUUCAAUUUGCGCAGAACCUUUCCUCUUCUAACAACUAAGAAAGUAUUUUGGCGAGGGGUUGUUGAAGAGCUUCUUUGGUUUAUCAGUGGCUCAACAAAUGCCAAGGUGCUACAGGAAAAAAACAUUCAUAUAUGGGAUGGCAAUGCAUCCAGAGAAUACCUUGAUGGUGUUGGUUUGACAGAGAGGGAGGAGGGUGACUUGGGACCUGUUUAUGGGUUUCAAUGGAGGCACUUUGGUGCCAGAUACACUGACAUGCAUGCUGACUACUCCGGCCAAGGGUUUGAUCAACUUUUGGAUGUUAUUAACAAGAUAAAGCAUAAUCCUGAUGAUCGGCGAAUCAUUCUCUCUGCAUGGAAUCCAGCUGAUAUUAAAUUAAUGGCACUUCCACCUUGCCACAUGUUUGCACAGUUUUAUGUAGCACAUGGGGAGUUAUCAUGUCAAAUGUAUCAGCGAUCUGCUGACAUGGGCCUGGGCGUUCCAUUUAAUAUUGCAUCUUAUGCCCUACUGACAUGCAUGAUUUCUCAUGUUUGUGAUCUAAUUCCAGGUGAUUUUAUCCAUGUUAUUGGGGAUUCACAUGUUUAUCGCAAUCAUGUGAGGCCUUUGCAGGAGCAGCUCCAUAACCUUCCAAAACCCUUUCCAACUUUGAAAAUAAAUCCAAAGAAGAAAGAUAUAGAUUCUUUUGUGGCUGCUGAUUUCAAGCUCACAGGCUAUGAUCCUCACCAGAAGAUUGAUAUGAAGCUGGCUGUCUAAAAGUGUGGGGUUUCUCACUUUCAGGCUGUUUCUGCUUUUUUAAUUGAGUAGUAGAACCAUGGUAGCAUGAUGCUGAGGUGGUCUGCAAGAUAGCUCUUAAUUUAUUGUCAACACCUUGUUGGCAAGCUAAAUGGCAGGCACAACGAUAGGAAGAUUAUGUUAAAAUUGUGUACUACUAAAGAUGAUCUCGUAGACACGUACUUAGUUCAUAUAUUUGUGGGAAUCGGUUGGGUCCAUGUGUUACGACUGUAAGGUGAUUUAGAUUAAUUUCAAUUUCCAUCCUUUCCAAUGUACACGCUCCAUUAUAAUUUUGAGGGAUCGAUUUCUCGAUGUUUUAGAUAAACAUUUUUCUGUUUUAAUAUUCGAACUUUUGGACAAGCAGCUUCAGUGCUAUUCAACAAGUUUUGUUUUUUUUUUUU